UUACUGCUGGCUAUUAAGAAUCAUUUCAGCCCUACACCUUGUCUUCUUGCUUCAGUUCUACACAUGGCCUGCGGGACCCCUGACGUGCCACUAAACGAGCAGGGCCAAGUCCUCACUCGGCACCUAAUCAACUUCUGAAGUAAAAGUGCACUCUCCUACUUGUCCUGCAAGUCUCCAUUUUGCCAACAUCCACAAAGCCUCUCGCUCACCCUUGCUGCUUGCUCAGAGCAGAUUAAGCCAUCACAGCAGCAAUCAUCAGAGGACACAAAGAAUCUCAUUGAAUUGGAAUUCCUGGGGCUUUGGACAGUAUCCAAGAGUGGAAGUAAAAUUUCAGAAGCCACCACAUGGUCUGCACUUCACCAUAGGAUACCAACAAAUGAACCCAAAGUAUCCGAAUGAUCCCCGUGAACAGCACUAUGGAAGGUUUAUUUGUAAUGGAUUAAUGCUGGUAUUGCCAGUACAGAAUAUAUUGAAUGGGCAGAGGUGAUGGUGCAAUAUACACUCAAAUUGGCAACACUUUUCUGUUCAAAGUAAGGGUCCGAAUGCCAGCCUUUUGAUAUGCAAGUGUGGCAUCCUAUCAAGAGGUCUGUUGGUUCUUGAGAAGCCUGCAGGCUGGGAGUAUAAUAUCUCACCCCUGAGUGUAACAGGUUUAGCAAGUGACAAUGACAUGUGCUAUGAGGAAAUCUGGAACCCAAAACAUAAGAAUGAAAAAAAGCAGGAAAGGGGGAGAGGGAGAAGGAGGAAUAUUAAAUGUAGGAUAAUAUUUUAACAGCAAUUAAUCAGAAUGGAGAAAUUUUGCUUUCUUUAAAUUGGAUAAAGACUUGAAAUAUUUACAGUACAACCAAUGAGGCCCAAGCAUCUAUAGACAAAAAAACAACCUGUGUCUGAUAAUCAGUUCUUCAUGUUCUCCUGUAUCUUAUGAGCAGAAAUUCAACAUAUUUUAAAAAUGACUUGCUUAAUUCAGCCACAAAGGAAUAAAAGAGUUAUAAUUUUAUCUUGCCCUUACAUUAAACUUGGCACCCUGAAUAAGGCAUCCAAGCACAUUAGUAUUAGUGUUUAGUACCUUGCCAGCUAGCUACUCCCAAGAGAUUUCACCUCAUACUGUGUUCCAUUUGAAAAUACAAGUGUUGACAGGUCAGAGAGCACAGGAGCAAACAAAAUCAACUCAAGAUUCAGCACUCACAAUAGGUCAGAUGUAACCCAACAAGCUCCAGAAAAUGUCCUUGACAAGAAGCCAAGACUUUGAAAGGAAGCAAUUCAGCAUGUUUUGCACAGAAGUCAACUUACGGAAUUAAUAUGCUUACAUUUGUAAAAGGAAAAUUUCAUAAAUAGGAAUUAAACUAAAACUAUAUCUAACCCACAAUUUUCUGAACCAGUACGUCAAAUAUCACUGCUCAGCACUGUUGAUGUUAAACUCCCUUUCAGAUUGAUUUUGCUUCAUAUUUGGAAAGGCAUAAGUCAAAACUCAGAAUAAUGUCCG